AAGAAGGGAAAGGGAGUUCACGUACCUGUAAAAAACGAGAGGGGAAAAUGCCUCUGGUACACUUGUUUAUUUUAGGCAGUUGGUGCACUUGAACUGGAGUUCACUCGGUGAUCUCACUUAAAAGCACUAGCAGUCUGCUGUAGUUCACAUCGCUCUAGCACUUGCAGCUCCAUCUUCAGCUUGCUAAGUCGACCCAGGAAGUCCAACCAGCAUCGUCCCGAGAUUCCACAACUUCAACUAAGGCAGCUGAGCGUCUCAUGCCCAGGUCAGCUUGCUACUCCUGGUGCUGAUCAAUAUGAACUGUGGUUGCUACUUUGGUUUUCUUCUGCACAUAUACUUCUAGGAGUAAAUUGAGUUGCUUCUGCACAUAAUAGUUGUACAGUGCACAUAAUAGCUCCGUGUUAUCCGGCGAACAAUGCCAUCUCAGGUUCGUUUACUCAUGCAUGUGAGUUCAUUUUCUCCCCAAGUUCAUUUUAUUACUGGAGUUCACUUUCUCUAUUGAAGUUCAGCUUUAUAUUUUCAUGAAGUCCAGUUUAUCCGCGUAUAAGUUAAAGGUUUAUUGACCACUGGUAUUGGUAUUAGCUCUGACUGAAAAUAAUUCAAAAUAGAAGUUCGCAUGAUUAUUUAAAGCAGUUCACUAAUUCGACUUGGACAGCUCACUUAGCGAAAAAAAACAUUGCACUUUAUUCGAUGUGAAUGGUAGUGUUGAUCUGUUGGCGAUUUUAUUCUGGCGACUUGCGCUACGCCUGCAAUAAUUUCACUCUUUGAUUUUGCUACUAAGUGCACUUCACCUUUUAUUCAAGUUCCCUUUUGGCUCCCAAUUUCUUUUUGUUCUAUAAUGCCUAAGUGAGAUCUGGUACCAGCCUGAUAUUAUCUAGUUUGGAAUAUAUGAAAUGCCAUAUCCAUUUUCUCUUAUAAUAGCAAAUAUUUGGUUUACGAGCAUAUAUUUUUGUACAGUGGUAAUCAACCUGAUGUUCUUCUUUUCCUAUUGCAGUUUCAUGUGCGAUGGUGAUAGUUUACGAUAAGAUAGGUGUCCAUUGUCCUGCGAGCUCGCUGCUGCUGCAUCAAUGUAGCAUAGUACAAGCUCGAACAAGUCCAAUCCGCCCUGCCUUCGGCGCUCAGGACUUCACCUUUUACAACACAUCUGUGCCUUGUGGGAGCAUGCGUUGCUCUCGGCGUGCCGGAGCUGUGAAGUUCGGGAGGGCAGAUUUUUAUAAGUCCACUUUUGAAGAAGUUUGUCGAAAGUUUUCUCUAGAAGCUAAAUUUUGUGUGUGCUGAAAAUUCAUUUUGUUCUGAAUGGCACGGUGCAAGUUUGAACUCCAAUUUCAUUUGAUUGGAAGUUCCAAUUCUACCAGCGGGAAGACUACUCUUUUGUCGGUUCACAAAUUUGAUUUCCCGCAGUACACGAUCAUACCAUAAUUUUUGUGGUAGGCUUGUUUAUUUUGGAUAGCUCAUCCGUUUGGUCA